UACGGAGGGGGCUAGCGUUGUUCGGAAUUAUUGGGCGUAAAGCGCACGUAGGCGGCUUUGUAAGUUAGAGGUGAAAGCCCGGGGCUCAACUCCGGAAUUGCCUUUAAAACUGCAUCGCUCGAAUUGUGGAGAGGUAAGUGGAAUUCCGAGUGUAGAGGUGAAAUUCGUAGAUAUUCGGAAGAACACCAGUGGCGAAGGCGACUUACUGGACACAUAUUGACGCUGAGGUGCGAAAGCGUGGGGAGCAAACAGG
rnacentral:rRNA from 1 species